AUUGAACGCUGGCGGCAUGCUUUACACAUGCAAGUCGAACGGUAACAGGGUGCUUGCACCGCUGACGAGUGGCGAACGGGUGAGUAAUGCGUCGGAACGUGCCGAGUAGUGGGGGAUAACGCAUCGAAAGGUGUGCUAAUACCGCAUACGUACUGAGGUAGAAAGUGGGGGACCUUCGGGCCUCACGCUAUUCGAGCGGCCGACGUCUGAUUAGCUAGUUGGUGAGGUAAAGGCUCACCAAGGCGACGAUCAGUAGCGGGUCUGAGAGGAUGAUCCACCACACUGGGACUGAGAAACGGCCCAGACUCCUGCGGGAGGCAGCAGUGGGGAAUUUUGGACAAUGGGCGCAAGCCUGAUCCAGCCAUGCCGCGUGUCUGAAGAAGGCCUUCGGGUUGUAAAGGACUUUUGUCCGGGAGCAAAUACCCAGUGCUAAUAACGCUGGGGGCUGAGAGUACCGGAAGAAUAAGCACCGGCUAACUACGUGCCAGCCGCCGCCGUAAAAC
rnacentral:rRNA from 1 species